rnacentral:rRNA from 1 species
AGCGGACGCUGGCGGCAGGCCUAACACAUGCAAGUCGAACGAAGUCUUCGGACUUAGUGGCGGACGGGGGAGUAACACGUGGGAACGUACCUUUUGGUUCGGAACAACUCAGGGAAACUUGAGCUAAUACCGGAUGAGCCCUUAGGGGGAAAGAUUUAUCGCCGAAAGAGCGGCCCGCGUUAGAUUAGCUAGUUGGUGAGGUAAAGGCUCACCAGGGCUACGAUCUAUAGCUGGUCUGAGAGGAUGAUCAGCAACACUGGGACUGAGACACGGCCCAGACUCCUACGGGAGGCAGCAGUGGGGAAUCUUGCGCAAUGGGCGAAAGCCUGACGCAGCCAUGCCGCGUGAAUGAUGAAGGUCUUAGGAUUGUAAAAUUCUUUUACCAGGGACGAUAAUGACGGUACCUGGAGAAAAAGCCCCGGCUAACUUCGUGCCAGCCGCCGCAGUAACAC